rnacentral:lncRNA from 1 species
AAUAAUUUGGAAAACAAAAGGGCCUGGAAUGGAGUAUUUUUUACUCAACAGUAUACAGCAAAAUUCUAAAUACACUGUUUGGUGGUGCGCCUGUCAGAUGCGGAACGAACAGAUAAGGUAAUAGGUAACAGGUGAAUAUACUAUUGGUAUCGGUGUCGGACUCGAUCCGGAACUUCUUAAUUAUUGGCAAUAUUAAUUACGUGGAAAACAAAUGGGCCUAGAGUGGUGUAAUUUUUAAUCAACACCAUUGUACUAUAUUAGUUAUAUAUAAAGUUGAAUUCUUUGAUUCAUCGUUUUUACGUGAUGACGGCUGACAAAUUGGACCUCGUAAUUUUAGUAUUAUAGAUU